rnacentral:rRNA from 1 species
UACGUAGGGUGCGAGCGUUGUCCGGAAUUACUGGGCGUAAAGAGCUCGUAGGUGGUUUGUCGCGUUGUUCGUGAAAUCUCACGGCUUAACUGUGAGCGUGCGGGCGAUACGGGCAGACUAGAGUACUGCAGGGGAGACUGGAAUUCCUGGUGUAGCGGUGGAAUGCGCAGAUAUCAGGAGGAACACCGGUGGCGAAGGCGGGUCUCUGGGCAGUAACUGACGCUGAGGAGUGAAAGCGUGGGGAGCGAACAGG